rnacentral:rRNA from 1 species
GACGAACGCUGGCGGCGUGCUUAACACAUGCCAGUCGAACGGAAAGGCCCUGCUUUUGUGUGUUUCUCGAUUGGCGAACGGGGGAGUAACACGUGAGUAACCUGCCCUUGACUUUGUGAUAACUUCAGGAAACUGGGGCUAAUACCGCGGAUAAUCUCCUGCUGCAUGGGGGGCGAUGGAAAGAUUCGGCGGUUGGGGAUGGACUCGCGGCUUAUCAGCUUGUUUGGGUGGUAGUUGCGGACCAAGGCUUUGACGGGUAGCCGGCAUUGGAGCGUGACCGGCGACAUUGGGACUGCGAUAGGGACCAGAAUGGUACGGGAGGCAGUGGUGGGGAAUCUGGCACAAUGGGCGGGCGUGUGAUGUAGAAACCCUGCGUGCGGGAUGAUCGCUUUCGGGUUGUAAACAGAUUUCGACUGUGCCGAAGAGUGCGUGACGGUAAUGGGUAAAGAAGCAACGGCUAACUACGUG